rnacentral:ncRNA from 1 species
UACAAUUGUACAAAACUGUGUCCAAAAAUAUAUAUUUUGACCACUCCAAUUUGAGAGAAAUCCAACUAUAUAUAUUUUUUUUGUCAACAAAAAAUAAAAUAAAAUUAAAAGGGACAUUUCAAAGAUGUCUCAACCCUAAUACAAGAUCCAAAUACCACAUGUGACUAUAACCACACGUGGAUCAUAGCUAGUUGGUGAGGCAAUAGCUUACCAAGACAAUGAUCAAUAGCAGGUCCGAGAGGAUGAUCAGCCACACUGGGACUGAGACACGGCCCAGACUCCUAGGGAAGGCAACAGUGG